rnacentral:misc_RNA from 1 species
CAGGACUCGCAAGACUCCCGUAACCACUGUGAACUUACCUUUAAUCGUUGCCUCGGCGGGUGCCUCGGUGCAAACCGAGGCGCUACGCCCGCCGGCGGCUUACAACUCUUGUCUCUUGCGUUGGCAUCUCCGAGCAAACAAAACGAGUCA